rnacentral:rRNA from 1 species
AUACGGAGGAUGCGAGCGUUAUCCGGAUUUAUUGGGUUUAAAGGGAGCGUAGGCGGGAGCUUAAGUCAGCGGUUAAAUGGUGCGGCUCAACCGUGCCCUGCCGUUGAAACUGGGUUUCUUGAGAGUGCAAGAGGCGGAUGGAAUUCAUGGUGUAGCGGGGAAAUGCUUAGAUAUCAUGAAGAACUCCGAUUGCGAAGGCAGCCUGCCGGGCCGCGACUGACGCUGAAGCUCGAAGGUGCGGGUAUCGAACAGGAUUAGAUACCCUGGUAGUCCGCACAGUAAACGAUGGAUACUCGCUGUCGGCGAUAUACGGUCGGUGGCCAAGCGAAAGCGUUAAGUAUCCCACCUGGGGAGUACGCCGGCAACGGUGAAACUCAAAUGAAUUGGCGGGG